rnacentral:rRNA from 1 species
UACAGAGGGUGCGAGCGUUGUCCGGAAUCACUGGGCGUAAAGGGCGCGUAGGCGGCGCGACAAGUCAGGCGUGAAAGCCCCGGGCUCAACCCGGGAAUUGCGCUUGAUACUGUCGUGCUUGAGGCCGGGAGAGGAUGGCGGAAUUCCCAGUGUAGAGGUGGAAUUCGUAGAUUAUUCGCAAGAACACCAGUGGCGAAGCGGCUCACUGGCCCGAUACUGACGCUGAGGCACGAAAGCGUGGGGAGCAAACAGG